rnacentral:lncRNA from 1 species
GGUUGCCAAGUGCCCGGAAGGUUUGACAGAGCUGAGGGGCUAUUUGUUAGACACAAAAACAGGGACUCCUCCGCCGCCCCAGCCCACUCCAGGGAAAGAUGGUCACACUCCUUGGCUGUAUGUUAAUGCCCGGCGUCGGAGCUCGGAAGGGACUUUCGGGAAGCUGAGGAGCUCAUUUUACAGAUGAGGAAACUGAGGCAGACAAGGUAAAGUGACUUGCCCAGGGUCGCACAGGUAGUAAGUGUCUGAGGCUGAUUUGAAUUCAGGUCUUCCUGACUCCAAGCACGGUGCUCUCAAGUGCCAGGCACAGCGUGGGCCACUCGAGGUCUAACCUGGGCAUUUUUAUGGGUGUGGGGUGGGGAGAGAUGUGGGAGGGCUGUGAAAAGUCCUAGUGCACUAUAGCGCUGAGGGGCCAGAGAGGUAGAGGGGGGCUGGGUAUUGGGUUAGGAAAGCCGACGGUGUGGGACAGAGGAGGGAAGGAGGGGUCCUGGAGC